CCCUCCUUUUUUUCAUCCAAAAAAUUUCUCAGAACAUUUUUCCUACUUUUUUUCCCCAAAACAUUUCUCUCUGUCAUUUUUUCCCAAUUAAAGAAAGUGGGAGGUACACUCCGUCGGUCAUUGAUUUCCAGUUUUUCUUUUUCAACCUUCAAUUUAAGUUGUGCAUCGAAGACCAUUGGUUGUUCUGUGUUUUGUCAUACUUUUUAAGUUCUGCCCCUCUUGAAUCUAGAUUAGAAUUCACCUAUUGUAUGUAGCAGAUUAUCGGUUGAAGCAAUAAGACUAAAACUUCUCAAUCCAAGCUUUCGUAUCUGAAUUUUCAACAGAUCGCUAGUGGCUUCUUUGUAAUGCCUCUGCAUGUUUAGAGUGAGUAAUGUUGGUUGCCCUAACGUUGCCUUGGGUCUUGUCAUUUUUCUUGUGCACACCCAUUUUAAUAUUGUGAAGAAGCAGAUAUGCGCAUGGUGGAUUCAUCCUUAAGAACCUGAAUACAAAUUUAAGGUGCCGAGAACAAAUUUCUUUCCACAACCUAAAGUUCUUGGUAUCGAUUUGUCCUGGAGAAUGCACAAAUCAUCCGAUGGGCAAAGAAGAAGAGUGCAGAUAUGUAUGGGUCUUCUGAAACCAUUCAAGGUAUAUCCUCAAAUACUCUCACUGAGUAAGAGCAGUUACCUUCGAACUGUGGAGCAAGAAGGUUAGGUUGCUUCUACAAAGACUUAACUCACUCUAACCCCCCCACCCACCAAAGUCGUGCUCGAAUCAAUUGUGUACUCUUUCGCCCGUUUUUAUGUGAGUUAAUUUGUGUUAGCAUGGAGACUCUAGGGGUUUGUGUUUGUUGUAACGUUGUUGUCUAUGUUUGUUGUCAGUCCUAAGCCGGAGGUUCUACAGGAAGAUAUCAGAUCAUACAACUCUUUGUGUCUUCGUCGGUAACAUGUUAUUCCUACAGUUCUUCUACCUUUUUUGUUCUUUCGGGAGUUGGAGUUUCUUGGAUAUCUAGAACUGCUUUGGUCACAGUGGUAAUAGGUAUAACCAAAUAAUUUAUAACUGAUGUAGUUAAAAAUGGAAUGAAAAGCAUGGCACUAUAGCAUUAGGAAUUUAAAGGAUGUGUUCAUCCAGAUGAUGAAGAGCUAUUGUAGUUAAUUUGUGUAUAAUACACAAAUUAUCAUCUUUUUCUUUUUCUUUUUUGUAACCAUUAUCUGCUAGAUAUCGACACAGCUAUUUAACCACUUGGAAGCAUCACUUAUCACAGGUCCAUUACUCAUAGAUCAAUAUGCGAGGGAAAUUUAUGCACCCGUUAUGUUUUUAGUUGUGUGCAGAUAUAAAUGUUUUAUAAUAAGAACUGAAGAUUGAUUUUUAUGUAGCCAACUGAUGCGGUUAGUGGACUCAUUUCGUCCAUGGAUGCAAGGAGAUCACGUGAUGAUAAUGAUCCUAAUGACAUUUUUUGAAUUCUUUGCAUUUGUCUUGGAUAUUCAAUUAUGAUGGUGUAAUUGUGUGGUUGGAGUGGAAUAUUGAAGGUUUUGUGUUUAAAUUUGAUUUUUGUAGUUUGAAGAGACUAGUAAUGUUGAAAAUUUGGAGUUUGAAG